AUUGAACGCUGGCGGCAGGCCUAACACAUGCAAGUCGAGCGAGCGGCGGACGGUUGAGUAAUGUCUGGGAAACUGCCUGAUGGAGGGGGAUAACUACUGGAAACGGUAGCUAAUACCGCAUACCAUCAGAUGUGCCCAGAUGUGAUUAGCUAGUAGGUGGGGUAACGGCUCACCUAGGCGACUAUCCCUAGCUGGUCUUUGAGGAUGACCAGCCAAACUGGAACUGAGACACGGUCCAGACUCCUACGGGAGGCAGCAGUGGGGAAGAUUGCACAAGGGGCGCAAGCCUGAUGCAGCCAUGCCGCGUGUGUGAAGAAGGCCUUCGGGUUGUAAAGCACUUUCAGCGGGGAGGCGUUACCCGCAGAAGAAGCACCGGCUAACUCCGUGCCAGCAGCCGCGGUAAUUC
rnacentral:rRNA from 1 species